rfam:Rattus norvegicus chromosome 1, whole genome shotgun sequence.
UGGCUCAGUGGUUAAGAGCACUGGUUGCUCUUCCAGAGGUCCUGGGUUCAAUUCCCAG